rnacentral:rRNA from 1 species
AUUGAACGCUGGCGGCAGGCCUAACACAUGCAAGUCGAACGAGUGGCGGACGGGUGAGUAAUGUCUGGGAAAAUGCCCGAUGGAGGGGGAUAACUACUGGAAACGGUAGCUAAUACCGCAUACCAUCGGAUGUGCCCACAUGGGAUUAGCGAGUAGGUGGGGUAACGGCUCACCAAGGCGACGAUCCCUAGCUGGUCUGAGAGGAUGAACAGCAACACUGGAACUGAGACACGGCCCAGACUCCUACGGGAGGCAGCAGUGGGGAAUAUUGCACAAUGGGCGCAAGCCUGAUCCAGCCAUGCCGCGUGUAUGAAGAAGGCCUUCGGGUUGUAAAGGACUUUCAGCGGGGAGGCGGUACUCGCAGAAGAAGCACCGGCUAACUCCGUGCCAGCAGCCGCGGUAAUUC